AGUCACGUGUUAAAUUUGUGACCCCGAAAGAAACGUCGACUUUUAUAUUAAAGUCAGCUAUACUUUUACACGUCGCAUUCUAGUUAAGAGUCAACUAAUAAUAUUAUUUAAAGGAUUUGCUCGUUUUUCCAGUCAGUUUUUAGUGGUUAGCUUUAGCAGCUAGCAAAGGAAAUGAGCACCUUUCUUGUUCAUGGAUACGAACAACUACAUCUUCAAACUACGUCUUCAGAUGGAUUUAUUUUCUGGGUGAAGGGAAACUGGAUUUCAGUGACAAACAUCCGAGCCAAGACCUUCCAGUAUUAUAAAGAGAAACAC